AGAGUUUGAUUCUGGCUCAGGAUGAACGCUAGCGGCAGGCCUAACACAUGCAAGUCGAGGGGUAGAGUUCUUCGGAAUUUGAGACCGGCGCACGGGUGCGUAACGCGUAUGCAAUCUACCUUAUACAGGGGAAUAGCCCAGAGAAAUUUGGAUUAAUGCCCCAUAGUGUUAUAGAAUCGCAUGGUUUUAUAACUAAAGUUCCAACGGUAUAAGAUGAGCAUGCGUCCCAUUAGUUAGUUGGUA
rnacentral:rRNA from 1 species